CAACUUCAAGAUAAGAUUUCCCACCGCAAGGGUAAGACCCCAGAAAGACUAUCUGGUUGAUAGGUCGAAGGUGUAAGUGCAGCAAUGUAUUUAGCUUAUCGAUACUAAUAGGUCGAGGACUUGACCAA
rnacentral:rRNA from 1 species